rnacentral:lncRNA from 1 species
GGGGUUCUGGGGGACCUCUGGGGUGUCCUGCGGUGUUUUGGUGUGGUUUCGGUGUAUUUCAGGGUGUUUUGGGGUGUUUCCGGGUUGUUUUUGGGUGUUUCAGGGUGUUUCUGGGUGUUUCCGGUGUGUUUUGGGGUGUUUUCGGGGUCUUUCUGGGUGUUCCCGGUGUGUUUUGGGGUGUUCUUGGGGUAUUUCUGGGUGUUUCCGGGUUGUUUUUGGGUGUUUCCGCGCGUUCCCGGUGCGUUUCGGGGUGUUUUUGGGGUGUUUCGGGCUGUUUCCGGUGCGUUUUGGGGUGUUUCUGGGUGUUUCUGGGUUGUUUUUGGGUGUUUCAGGGUUGUUUUUGGGUGUUUUUGGGUGUUUCCGGGUGUUUCCACGCGUUCCCGGUGCGUUUCGGGGUGUUUUGGGGGUAUUUCUGGGUGUUUCCAGGUUGUUUUUGGGUGUUUCCGGGUGUUUCCGGGUGUUUCCGGGCGUUCCCGGUGCGUUUCGGGGUGUUUUUGGGGUGUUUCGGGCUGUUUCCGGUGCAUUUUGGGGUGUUUCUGGGUGUUUCCGGGUUGUUUUUGGGUGUUUCCGGGUUGUUUUUGGGUGUUUCCGGGUGUUUCCGUGCAUUCCCGGUGCGUUUCGGGGUGUCCCAGUCCGCCCUGACCCCGUUUCUCCCGCCCCGGCAGACGUUUACGCCUUCGGGCUGGGCGAGGACGCUCACGCCGAGACGCUGAACGCGCUGGCGUCGCACAAGGCGGGGGAGCAGCACCUCUUCUUCCUCAGGGACACCGAGGACCUGCAGGAGGUGUUCCACCGCAUGAUCGGUACCCGGGAGCCCCGCCACGGCCGGGAAAACACACAGGAAACAGACGGGAAAACACACAGAAAACAGGCAGAAAAACAGGCAGAAAAACAGCCCAAAAACAGGCAGAAAAACACCUCAAAAACAGCCAGAAAACACACAGAAAACAGGCAGAAAACACACAGAAAACAGGCAGAAAACACACAGGAAACAGGCAGAAAAACAGCCACAAAAACAGCCCAAAAACAGACAGAAAACACACAGGAAACAGGCAGAAAAACACACAGAAGAACAGCCCAGAAACAGGCAGAAAAACAGGCAGAAAAACAGGCAGAAAAACAGGCAGAAAAACAGGCAGAAAAACACCACAAAAACAGGCAGAAAACCAGCCCAAAACAGCCACAAAAACACCCCAGAACAGGCAGAAAAACAGGCAGAGAAACAGCCCAAAACAGGCAGAAAACACAAAAAAAAAACACGGCAAAAACACCCCUAAAACCCCCAGAAAACACCGUAAAAACACCCCAAACCUCCCCCAAAAAUCCCACCCUACAAAACACCCCCAAAACCAACCAAAAAAACCCCCAAAACUUCCCCAAAAAAACCCCAAAACCUCCCCAAAAAAACCCCAAAACCUCCCCAAAAAAUCUCCCCAAAAACCCCAAAAAUCUCCCCCAAAAAAACCAAAAACCCAAAAAACCCCAAAAACCCCAAAAAAACCCCAAAAUCUCCCCCCCAAAAAAAACCCCA